rnacentral:misc_RNA from 1 species
CCAGCCACUGCAUACGCUCUCUAAUCCUCAGCACGUCAGUCGGCCUCAUCCUCUCCUCCCAGCCGUGCCUGAUUUUUUUGGCCGCCGCUCACCGCCGGUGGAGAUUCCGCCGCCGUUCUCCUCUGGCGCGGCCUUAUCUCCUCCCUCUGUGCUGAUGCCGCGUGUUUCUCUCUCUCUCAGAGUUCCUUGCUGUUCUCUCUCUGUAAGAUUUUUUUUCAGCCGCCUAGUUGUCCUCUUCUUUAUCUACCUGCUCUUCUCCUCUGGCCACAGCAGUGUCGUGGGUGAGCUCAACCAGUCGCACGCACAGGGCCGCGCGAGGAGACCCUCUGCUCGGUUCCCUGCUCCUCGCCUUACCCCAUGGCUGCGUCGCGCCCAGCCCAUGCUCGCUAGACGAGCUCUCCCCAGCCGCGUUGGCUCCCCUGCUCGCCCCUGCUUCUCCCUUCGGCCAACCGGAUCUCUCUCCUUCCCCGCGCGCAACCUUCUGUCGGCUUCCUGCUCCCGGGUCUGGAGCUUCCAUGGCGUCGUGGUUUCCUAUCUUCCAUCCCCUUUGUUCCCUGCGCCCAAGUUUUAUUUUCCCUUGCCAUGGCCGCACCCCUCAAGCUCCUGCGCCGCGCUGGGCUCUCUGCUUGAGCGCGCGCCCCUGCUUCCCUGUUCUCUAUUCCCGCGCCGGAUUUCCAGCGGGCUCCCUCUCCCACGGUCGUCUCCUUCCCCUAGCAAUUGGCUGCCGCUGCAUCACGCCCAGAAAGCGCUCGACCACCGUUCCUAGCUUCGGCUUCUUCAGUCUGCCCCGGCUCGGCGCUUGGACACCGGGUCCAC